rnacentral:lncRNA from 1 species
AACUUAAGCAAACCUGCAGACUGGUAAACAAACACACACACUUCAGCUGACCCGGGCAAGGUUCUAGUAGGAAGUACUAUGUGAUUUUUUUUUUUUUCACACUCAGAACAUAAGUGUCAAUGCUCUCACUAUGAAGAAGAGUCACAGGAUUGGCUGGGGUGGUGAAAGCGAA